CCGCCGUUGCCUCCACCGCUAGCCUUGUUGGUCACCGUUGAUCAUCCUCUCAGAUCGCCUCCGCUCGCCGAUUUGGUAACUGAAAAAUAAGGCUCUUGACAGCAGAGGUGGCAAAAUGUUGAGCAAUAGGGAUCAAAAUUUACCUGAAGAUGUUGUGAAUGAGAUACUCUCAAGGCUGCCCGUGAAAUCCCUGUUGUGAUUCAAAUGUGUCUGCAGAUCCCAGAAUAUAUGGGACAUGUUGUUGGCCUCAUUGACGGCAUAUUUUUGGUAUACACUUAUGGGUAUAGUGAUGGCAACCGUAUGGCUCUGUGGAACCCUGCUAUGAGAGAGUUUAAACUCUUCCAUGUACUCUGAGCCAAUUUUUCCACCUAAUUUUCAUGCUGUUGUAAAUAUAGUUGGAUUUGGGUUGGACCCAUUGACUAGGGUUUACAAGAUUAUUUGGAUUCGCAACUUUGUUGAAAGGAUUGGUGAUGAAUCAGGUGAUGACAUAGAUUAUCCUUAUUAUGUUGUUGCACUAUACACUCUAGGUAAAGAUUUGUGGAGACAUUUUGAUCUUCUUACAAUACCUACAGGCCAUUUCAUCUAUAAUUCUUUGUGUGUGACAUGCAUAAAUGGAGCAUAUUAUUGGCUGUGUUUUGUAGGUAAUGAUAGUAAAUAUGGGAUCCUUUCUUUUGACAUGAGGCUAGAAUUAAUCCUGAACAGAAAUGGGGAUCUCUUUCAUUGUACAAUGAUUCUAUUGGUUUGUUCUUUUGUCAAACUUAUGUGAUUUUGGAAUGUAGUAUUGAUAUUCAUUCCCGAUGUACCAAAA